AUGGGGAAGACGAGCCAGAGACGCGCUACACAGAUCCAGGAGAACAAUGUUGGGUGCACCUGGGGCCUCAUCCGCAUGUUCUACUCCCGCCGCGACCCCAAGCUCAUCCUUGACAGGAAGCAAGGGAGCACAAGGCACUCCUUCAGUGGCUUUCCUGGAAGAGGGCACUUGAGAAAGAAGUCUAGGGACUUUGAGGAAACAGAUGAAGACAGGGAUAACACGGAGGAAUGCAGUACCACGAAACCAACUGUCAAAAGACUCAUGGGGGGUGAGCUUGGCAAGCCAAAACAUUCGAAGAAGAUCCCAAACGAUGAGGUUCAAAGGAUAUUGGCUGACCUGGGACAUGAUGUCUGUCUGGACAAAAGAACAACACCGAACAGCAAACCAAAGGGAGUCACAGAUCCCAGCGCAGACAUAGGCAUUGCUUCCUCCUCUGAGUGCCUGGAUCCCAGUGGUUCAAAAUGCAUGGAACAGGUGGAAGAAGAUGGCCUUGAGCUUGCUUUGUCAGAUUUCCUGGGACAAGUCUAUAAGUACCACGAUGAAGGGCCGCAUGAUGAUUGCAGGAAUAAGAGUGAACCAUACCCUGAAUUAGAGUCCAUUAUCCAUACAAAGCUUAAUGAGUAUAACAAUCCUCCCUGUGACCUUGCUUAUGAGAAAACUCCGGUGAGCGAGGAAAAGCAGCUUGUUGACAACAAACAUAUUUGCAACAGACAUGUAGGGGCCAGGUUAGAGCCCAAAAAAAUGCUUGAAAAAACUAACAUUGUUGAAGAUACAAAGGCUUCAAAUCAGCGUGAGUUGACUAUCAAAACAAAGAAUAAAGAGAGCAGAAAUAUAUUUUUCUGGAAGAAAGAUAAACCAAGCAGAACACAUGCAUCAGAGGGAAGGUCUUCUCAGCCAGUUAACAAAAUAGUAAUACUCAAGCCGAAUCCAAGGAGAGGCUUUGAUCCUACAGUAGCAACUGCAUCGACAUACUUACAUCAGCAAUCAGGUGGAAUUCAAGCUCCAGAAUACAGUGCAGCUGAAUGUUCAACAUUUUCAGUUAAGGAAGUCAGGAGAAGAUUCAGAAUCGUGACCGGAGAAACUAGAAAAGGAAGACCCCCAAUGAACGAAGAUGAUGUACAAAGAGAUCCGUGUUUGCUCAGAGAUUCAUUUACAAUUAUAAAGGAUUCCAGACAGGCCCCUCCAGCUACUGAUAAAAAUGAUGUUCGACCUUCAAACAGCAGUAAACACAAGCAAAUAAAUCAUUCACUAGGUGGUUUCAACAGAGACGUAUCCACGUCAAAGGAUGCAUCCACCUUCUACGCAGAAGCCAAAAAACAUUUAACAGAAAUCCUGAAGGACAAUACUCAUACUGGCCAGUAUCCAAGUCCUUCAGUUCAGGUCUCAAGGUCCUUGGUAGGAAUGCUUUCCCUCCCUCAAUGCAGUACCCCAUCAUCACCUGGGAAUACCCCAAGGGUAAGAGAAUGUAUUGAACAUUCACAGGAAGAGAAAAAUAUUUGUGCCAUACACAAGGCUGAGGGGGAAGAAUCUGCAGAAGAAGGAAAUAAAACAGAGGGAGAUUCAGGGAGUGCUGAAUGUGGUCCUAAUGAAGCAACAGUUGAACAAGCGGAUCAAGAAAGAUAUUAUUACAAGGAAGAAGACACACAACAAGACGUUGAACUUGAUAUUGGUUGUAUUGAAGAAACUGACAAUCUGGAUCCCUCGCAAGCAAUUCGGAAUGCGCAAUGCAUUCCAGCAGAGCAACACACAUAUUACUCAGCCCCAGAAACGACAGAAGCAGCAGAACCAGGUAAAGAGCAUGCUGAGAUUUGUCCAGGUUCCCCUGAGAAUAUUGUCGAGAUGCUAGAGCACCAAGAGCCAGAAACUCCCAGACGAAGCGCGUCACUUGGACCAACAUCACAAGAGGAAAACUAUGAAAAGCAAGAGCAACCCAGUCCUGUGUCUAUUCUUGAUCCAUUCUUCCAUGAAGAUGUCGACAGCCCUGAAAAUAAGAGCCCAAUACAAUGUGAGUUGCGCCAAGAUGUCUCGAGUCCCCACCAGUACUACCAAGAUGAUGGAUCAGACCCAGAGGAGAUCUUCUGGGAGGACAAGGAUGUCAGGUUAGGUUACAUAGAAACAGUACUGGAGCUAUCAGAACUAUGCACAGACCAGAACUUAGAUGUAUGGUAUCUAGAAGAUGAAUUGAUCAGCACCGGCCUGUUUGAAGAACUGCAUCAGGGCAAUCAUCAAACUGAUGAUUUCAUGCUCUUCUUUGACUGCAUCUGUGAAGCUAUAACAGCAAUUCAGGGGAAACACUUUGGAAACCCCCAUUGCUUAUCCUUUGUCAGACAAAACAUACAGGCACCUCCAAUGGGACAGAACCUCAUCUCAGAAAUAAAUAAGCACAUUGAGGGCCAUCUCUGUUAUGAAUUUCCAAGCACAUUGAACCUGCUAGUUAGUGUGGAUCUGGAAGAGGGAACAUGGAUGAAUCUCCGAUCGGAAAGUGAGGAGACUGUUGUGGAUAUAUGGGAAUUCUUGCUGGAUGAACUGCUAGAAGAUGUCGCUUAUGGCUUGUGGAUACAGUCUAUCAGGGCGAUCAACUCAGAGCAUUUGUGUGCUUGCUAA
rnacentral:rRNA from 1 species